rnacentral:rRNA from 1 species
GAAAUUUUUAAAUGGCCGCAGUAUUCUAACUGUGCAAAGGUAGCAUAAUCAUUAGUCUUUUAAUUGAAGGCUGGAAUGAAUGGUUGGACGAAAUAUUAACUGUUUCAUUUGAAUUUUUAUAGAAUUUUAUUUUUUAGUCAAAAAGCUAAAAUUUAUUUAAAAGACGAGAAGACCCUAUAAAUCUUUAUAUUUUGUUUAUUUUAAUUAUAAAGAUUAUUUUUAUUAUAAUAAAUUAAAAUAUUUUAUUGGGGUGAUAUUAAAAUUUAAAAAACUUUUAAUUUUUAAAACCAUUAAUUUAUGAAUAAUUGAUCCAUUAAUAAUGAUUAAAAAUUUAAGUUACUUUAGGGAUAACAGCGUAAUUUUUUUGGAGAGUUCAUAUCGAUAAAAAAGAUUGCGACCUCGAUGUUGGAUUAAGAUAUAAUUUU